rnacentral:rRNA from 1 species
AGCGAACGCUGGCGGCAGGCCUAACACAUGCAAGUCGAACGAACCUUUCGGGGUUAGUGGCGGACGGGUGAGUAACACGUGGGAACGUGCCUUUAGGUUCGGAAUAACUCAGGGAAACUUGUGCUAAUACCGAAUGUGCCCUUCGGGGGAAAGAUUAAUCGCCUCUAGAGCGGCCCGCGUCUGAUUAGCUAGUUGGUUGAGGUAAUGGCUCACCAAGGCGACGAUCAGUAGCUGGUCUGAGAGGAUGAUCAGCCACAUUGGGACUGAGACACGGCCCAAACUCCUACGGGAGGCAGCAGUGGGUAAUCUUGCGCAAUGGGCGAAAGCCUGACGCAGCCAUGCCGCGUGAAUGAUGAAGGUCUUAGGAUUGUAAAAUUCUUUCACCGGGGACGAUAAUGACGGUACCCGGAGAAGAAGCCCCGGCUAACUUCGUG